AAAUUGUGUAAGAGAUUCAACAUCUUCCUGAGUGCCCUACACAAGAAAUUCAAAGCAUAUGCUACUAAGGAGGAAGCAUUACAGAAUAGACCUUAAUAAAUUAAAGAUCCCGAUGAUUGGAUAUAUCUUUGUGACCUUUUUUCUAGUGAAAAGUUUCAGGCACGGUCAAAAACUUAUUCUGAGAACCGGUCGAAGAUGAGGUGUAACCACCGCAGUGGUUCCAAGAACUUUAUCCAGCACAAAAAGAAAAAGUUAUUUAAUAUUAUUCACCCACACAAAUAUACAACUUUGUUUUCUUGUUUACUAAUUUUAUUUCAAUUUAUGGUCAAUGACGAUAUGAACUGUUAAGGCAAACCAACUUGGGGAAUCUGUCGGUCCUAUACAAUUAUUUCAUGACACUCGUUAGAGCGCCGAGAAAGGGUGGAUUAAUGAACAAGCAAGAUAGCUAUAUAGCAUCGUGUUACUACAGCAGAAGCAGAGUUAAGGUGCAUUGUGCAACAAGAAGAAAAUAAGAUUAAACAGUUGGAGGAGCAGCUUAUCUUAUUUGAUCAACAAAAAGAGAAAAUAAAAAGCCUUGAACAAGAACAAUUUGUCCUGUUGGAGAUGAUGAAGCAACUAACUAUAGCCCUUGAACUACAGCAAUCUGAUAAAGCUCCAACUCGACAACCAUUGCCAUCUCCAACUGAUGAAGACUCGUCCUAAUCAGCUACAGCUAUUUCAAAAACCGCAAUUGGUGACACUUGAGAUGCUAACACUAUUGAUGGUUAGUUUUUUGUUGUAUGGGGAGUACAUAUUUUGAUAUGGGGGUAGAACUAUCUUUUUAGGACUGUUUGCAUAUAUCUGUUAGAUGGUGUACGUGGGGUGGGCAUUUUUUUGUUAGUUAUGCACAGAUAGAUAGCUAGUGGGGAAAAUGUGGG